rnacentral:rRNA from 1 species
GACGAACGCUGGCGGCGUGCUUAACACAUGCAAGUCGAACGCUGAAGCUUGGUGCUUGCACUGGGUGGAUGAGUGGCGAACGGGUGAGUAAUACGUGAGUAACCUGCCCUUGACUCUGGGAUAAGCCUGGGAAACUGGGUCUAAUACUGGAUACGACAUGUCACCGCAUGGUGGUGUGUGGAAAGGGUUUUACUGGUUUUGGAUGGGCUCACGGCCUAUCAGCUUGUUGGUGGGGUAAUGGCUCACCAAGGCGACGACGGGUAGCCGGCCUGAGAGGGUGACCGGCCACACUGGGACUGAGACACGGCACAGACUCCUACGGGAGGCAGCAGUGGGGAAUAUUGCACAAUGGGCGGAAGCCUGAUGCAGCGACGCCGCGUGAGGGAUGACGGCCUUCGGGUUGUAAACCUCUUUCAGCACGGAAGAAGCGAAAGUGACGGUACGUGCAGAAGAAGCGCCGGCUAACUACG